GUGCUAAUGAAGAGUCCCAAACUAGGAUGAAACAGCUGUCCAGUAC
rfam:Trichobilharzia regenti genome assembly, scaffold: TRE_scaffold0033822